rnacentral:rRNA from 1 species
UGCGCAGGCGGAAUGAUUAGUCAGUGGUGAAAUCCUACAGCUCAACUGUAGAACUGCCAUUGAUACUGUCAUUCUUGAGUACAGUGGAAGUGGGCGGAAUGUAUCAUGUAGCGGUGAAAUGCAUAGAUAUGAUACAGAACACCGAUAGCGAAAGCAGCUCACUAUACUGUAACUCACGCUCAGGCACGAAAGCGUGGGGAGCAAACAGGAUUAGAUACCCUGGUAGUCC